rnacentral:rRNA from 1 species
CCUGCCCAGCAGAACGACCCGUGAACUGUUGUAAAACGGCAUCGAGGAGCGGGCUGGGCGAUGUCCUCGCCCUCUGCUCGACGCAACCUGCUGUGCGGUCUUGGCCGCCUGCAGGAACAACACCCACCCCCGGCGCAGAACGCGUCAAGGAAAACAAACGAAGGAGGAAUCUUCUCGUGCUCCCGGACACGGAGAGCACGCGGAAGUUCCGCCCAAGGUCGAACAAAAACGACUCUCGGCAACGGAUAUCUCGGCUCUCGCAUCGAUGAAGAACGUAGCAAAAUGCGAUACUUGGUGUGAAUUGCAGAAUCCCGUGAACCAUCGAGUCUUUGAACGCAAGUUGCGCCCGAAACCUUCCGGUUGAGGGCACGUCUGCCUGGGUGUCACACAACGUCGUCCCAAAACCUCACCCUCCCUCGUGUGGGGUGCCGGGAGGGACGGAAGCUGGUCUCCCGUGGCGAUCCGCCGUGGUUGGCCGAAUUUCGAGUCCGGGCGUAGAAAUCCGCGACAGCCGGUGGUUGGAACAUCCUCGAUCGAUCUGUCGCGGCCCUUUCUGUGCGAAGAGACGGGCUUCGGACCCACAGCACUCCGGUGCUUUCGAUCGCGACCCCAGGUCAGGCGGGACUACCCGCUGAGUUUAAGCAUAUCAAUAAGCGGAGGAAAAGAAACUUACCAGGAUUCCCCUAGUAACGG